rnacentral:rRNA from 1 species
AUUGAACGCUGGCGGCAGGCCUAACACAUGCAAGUCGAGCGGAUGAAGGGAGCUUGCUCCUGGAUUCAGCGGCGGACGGGUGAGUAAUGCCUAGGAAUCUGCCUGGUAGUGGGGGAUAACGUCCGGAAACGGGCGCUAAUACCGCAUACGUCCUGAGGGAGAAAGUGGGGGAUCUUCGGACCUCACGCUAUCAGAUGAGCCUAGGUCGGAUUAGCUAGUUGGUGGGGUAAAGGCCUACCAAGGCGACGAUCCGUAACUGGUCUGAGAGGAUGAUCAGUCACACUGGAACUGAGACACGGUCCAGACUCCUACGGGAGGCAGCAGUGGGGAAUAUUGGACAAUGGGCGAAAGCCUGAUCCAGCCAUGCCGCGUGUGUGAAGAAGGUCUUCGGAUUGUAAAGCACUUUAAGUUGGGGGGAAGGGCAGUAAGUUAAUACCCUGCUGUUUUGACGUUACCAACAGAAUAAGCACCGGCUAACUUCGUG